AUACGUAGGGGGCGAGCGUUGUCCGGAAUGACUGGGCGUAAGGGGCGUGUAGGCGGCCGAUUAAGUCUGGAGUGAAAGUCCCGCUUUCAAGGUGGGAAUUGCUUUGGAGACUGGUUGGCUUGAGUGCGGAAGAGGUAAGUGGAAUUCCCAGUGUAGCGGUGAAAUGCGUAGAGAUUGGGAGGAACACCAGUGGCGAAGGCGACUUACUGGGCCGUAACUGACGCUGAGGCGCGAAAGCGUGGGGAGCGAACAGGAUUAGAUACCCUGGUAGUCCACGCUGUAAACGAUGAAUUCUAGGUGUAGGGGGUAUCGACCCCUCCUGUGCCGGAGUAAACGCAAUAAGCAUUCCGCCUGGGGAGUACGGCCGCAAGGUUGAAACUCAAAUGAAUUGACGGGG
rnacentral:rRNA from 1 species